AUUGAACGCUGGCGGAAUGCUUUACACAUGCAAGUCGAACGGCAGCACGGGGGCAGCCCUGGUGGCGAGUGGCGAACGGGUGAGUAAUACAUCGGAACGUGCCCGGUCGUGGGGGAUAACGUAGCGAAAGUUACGCUAAUACCGCAUACGAUCUGAGGAUGAAAGCGGGGGACCUUCGGGCCUUGCGCGAUCGGAGCGGCCGAUGUCAGAUUAGGUAGUUGGUGGGGUAAAGGCCUACCAAGCCGACGAUCUGUAGCUGGUCUGAGAGGACGACCAGCCACACUGGGACUGAGACACGGCCCAGACUCCUACGGGAGGCAGCAGUGGGGAAUUUUGGACAAUGGGCGCAAGCCUGAUCCAGCCAUUCCGCGUGCAGGACGAAGGCCUUCGGGUUGUAAACUGCUUUUGUACGGAACGAAAAGGCUCUGGCUAAUACCUGGGGCUCAUGACGGUACCGUAAGAAUAAGCACCGGCUAACUACGUG
rnacentral:rRNA from 1 species